rnacentral:lncRNA from 1 species
GUCUGAAUGAGUGUUUUCACCUGGGGUCUGUCUAGUGAGUGUUUUCACCUGGGGUCUGGUCCUUGAAUGAGUGUUUUCACACCGGGGGUCUGGUCUGAUAUAGUGUUUUCACCUGGGGUCCGGUCUGAAUGAGUGUUUUCACCUGGGGUCUGGUCUGAUAGAGUGUUUCCACCUGGGGUCUGGUCUGAUAGAGUGUUUUCACCUGGUGUCUGGUCUGAUAGUGUUUUACAGUUGGGGUCUGGUCUGGUAGAGUGUUUCCACCGGGGUCUGGUCUGAUAGAGUGUUUUUCACCUGUGUCUGGUCUGAUAGUGUUUGCAUUUGGGGUCUGGUCUGGUAGAGUGUUUUCACCUGGGGUCUGGUCUGGUAGAGUGUUUUCACCUGGGGUCUGGUCUGGUAGAGUGUUUUCACCUGGGGUCUGGUCUGAUAGAGUCUUUUCUCUUCUUCAGCUGAAAACAUUUACUAUGGAGACUGCAACAUAAAUGUGUUUGUGUUUGUUGCUU